rnacentral:rRNA from 1 species
UACCAGCACCCCGAGUGGUUGGGACGAUUAUUGGGCCUAAAGCAUCCGUAGCCGGUUUUACAAGUCCUCCGUUAAAUCCAGCUGCUUAACAGAUGGGCUGCGGAGGAUACUAUAAGACUAGGAGGCAGGAGAGGCAAGCGGUACUCAGUGGGUAGGGGUAAAAUCCGUUGAUCCAUUGAAGACCACCAGUGGCGAAGGCGGCUUGCCAGAAUGCGCUCGACGGUGAGGGAUGAAAGCUGGGGGAGCAAACCGG